ensembl:miRNA
CUCUUGGAUGUGAAUUUCGUCCUCCUUUUCCCUCUCUGUGCAGUUCUGUCCUAACUGACUUCGUGCAGAUGGACAGAUAGGGUGAGGAGGACAGACAAUCUGUCUUGA